AUUGAACGCUGGCGGCAGGCCUAACACAUGCAAGUCGAACGAGUGGCGGACGGGUGAGUAAUGUAUGGGAAACUGCCCGAUGGAGGGGGAUAACUACUGGAAACGGUAGCUAAUACCGCAUACCAUCGGAGGUGCCCAGAUGGGAUUAGCUAGGAGGUGGGGUAACGGCUCACCAAGGCGACGCUCCCUAGCUGGUAUGAGAGGAUGACCAUCCACCCUGGAACUGAGACACUGUCCAGACUCCUACGGCAGGCAUCAGUGGGGAAUAUUGCACAAUGGGCGCAAUCCUGAUGCAGCCAUGCCGCGUGUAUGAAGAAGGCCUUCUGGUUGUAAAGUACUUUCAGCGAGGGGGCGUGACUCGCAGAAGAAGCACCGGCUAACUCCGGGCCAGCAGCCGCGGUAAUAC
rnacentral:rRNA from 1 species